GAAACGGCUGCUAAUACCGCAUAAUGCAGCGGCUCGACAUCGAGACAGUUGUUAAAGCGGGGGAAUCCUUCGGGAUCCUCGCGCCUGAAGAGGAGCCUGCGGCGGAUUAGCUAGUUGGUAGGGUAAUGGCCUACCAAGCGACGAUCCGUAGCCGGCCUGAGAGGGCGGUCGGCCACACUGACACUGACAUACGGGUCAGACUCCUACGGGAGGCAGCAGUCGGGAAUUUUGGGCAAUGGGCGAAAGCCUGACCCAGCAACGCCGCGUGAAGGAUGAAAUCCCUCGGGACGUAAACUUCGUAAGAACAGGAAGAAUAAGUGGGGGACAAUACCCCCCAUGAUGACGGUACUGUUUGUAAGCUCCGGCUAACUCCGUGCCAGCAGCCGCGGUAAUACGGGGGGAGCAAGCGUUGUUCGGAUUUACUGGGCGUAAAGGGCGCGUAGGCGGUCGUGACAAGUCACUUGUGAAAUCUCCGGGCUUAACUCGGAACGGUCAAGUGAUACUGUCGGACUAGAGUACAGAAGGGGCAACUGGAAUUCUCGGUGUAGCGGUGAAAUGCGUAGAUAUCGAGAGGAACACCUGCGGCGAAGGCGGGUUGCUGGGCUGAUACUGACGCUGAGGCGCGAAAGCCAGGGACGA
rnacentral:rRNA from 1 species